AAGUAAGUGUUUAAGGGCGCAUGGUGGAUGCCUUGGCAUCGAGAGCCGAUGAAGGACGUGGGAGGCUGCGAUAUGCCUCGGGGAGCUGUCAACCGAGCAUUGAUCCGAGGAUUUCCGAAUGGGGAAACCCAGCACGAGUGAUGUCGUGUUACCCGUAUCUGAAUAUAUAGGGUGCGGGAGGUAACGCGGGGAAGUGAAACAUCUCAGUACCCGUAGGAGAAGAAAACAAUUGUGAUUCCGUCAGUAGUGGCGAGCGAACGCGGAACAGGCUAAACCGCAUGCAUGGACAACCGGGUAGGGGUUGUGUGUGCGGGGUUGUGGGAUUGAUAUGUCUCAGCUCUACCUGGCUGAGGGGUAGUCAGAAAGUGUCGUGGUUAGCGGAAGUGGCCUGGGACGGCCCGCCGUAGACGGUGAGAGCCCGGUACGCGAAAACCCGGCACCUGCCUUAUAUCAACACCCGAGUAGCAGCGGGCCCGUGGAAUCUGCUGUGAAUCUGCCGGGACCACCCGGUAAGCCUAAAUACUUCUCGAUGACCGAUAGCGGAUUAGUACCGUGAGGGAAUGGUGAAAAGUACCCCGGGAGGGGAGUGAAAUAGUACCUGAAACCGUGUGCCUACAAUCCGUCAGAGCCUCCUCGUGGGGUGAUGGCGUGCCUUUUGAAGAAUGAGCCUGCGAGUCAGGGACACGUCGCGAGGUUAACCCGUGCGGGGUAGCCGCAGCGAAAGCGAGUCUGAAUAGGGCGCAUCCCUUUUGGGGUGUAGUGGCGUGUUCUGGACCCGAAGCGGAGUGAUCUACCCAUGGCCAGGGUGAAGCGCGGGUAAGACCGCGUGGAGGCCCGAACCCACUUAGGUUGAAGACUGAGGGGAUGAGCUGUGGGUAGGGGUGAAAGGCCAAUCAAACUCCGUGAUAGCUGGUUCUCCCCGAAAUGCAUUUAGGUGCAGCGUUGCGUGGUUCACCACGGAGGUAGAGCUACUGGAUGGCCGAUGGGCCCUACUAGGUUACUGACGUCAGCCAAACUCCGAAUGCCGUGGUGUAAAGCGUGGCAGUGAGACGGCGGGGGAUAAGCUCCGUACGUCGAAAGGGAAACAGCCCAGAUCGCCGGCUAAGGCCCCUAAGCGUGUGCUAAGUGGAAAAGGAUGUGUAGUCGCAGAGACAACCAGGAGGUUGGCUUAGAAGCAGCCACCCUUGAAAGAGUGCGUAAUAGCUCACUGGUCAAGUGAUUAUGCGCCGAUAAUGUAGCGGGGCUCAAGCACACCGCCGAAGCCGCGGCACAUUCAUCUUUACGGUGGAUGUGGGUAGGGGAGCGUCCCCCAUUCAGCGAAGCCUCCGGGUGAUCGGUGGUGGAGGGUGGGGGAGUGAGAAUGCAGGCAUGAGUAGCGAUAAGGCAAGUGAGAACCUUGCCCGCCGUAAGACCAAGGGUUCCUGGGCCAGGCCAGUCCGCCCAGGGUGAGUCGGGACCUAAGGCGAGGCCGACAGGCGUAGUCGAUGGACAACGGGUUGAUAUUCCCGUACCCGUGUAUGGGCGUCCCUGAUGAAUCAGCGGUACUAACCACCCAAAACCGGAUCGACCAUUCCCCUUCGGGGGCGUGGCGAUUCGGGGCUGCGUGGGACCUUCGCUGGUAGUAGUCAAGCAAUGGGGUGACGCAGGAAGGCAGCCGUACCAGUCAGUGGUAAUACUGGGGCAAGCCCGUAGGGAGAGCGAUAGGCAAAUCCGUCGCUCACUAAUCCUGAGAGGUGAUGCAUAGCCGGUUGAGGCGAAUUCGGUGAUCCUCUGCUGCCAAGAAAAGCCUCUAGCGAGCACAUACACGGCCCGUACCCCAAACCAACACAGGUGGUCAGGUAGAGAAUACCAAGGCGUACGAGAUAACUAUGGUUAAGGAACUCGGCAAAAUGCCCCCGUAACUUCGGGAGAAGGGGGGCCGGAAUACCGUGAACACCCUUGCGGUGGGAGCGGGAUUCGGCCGCAGAAACCAGUGGGUAGCGACUGUUUACUAAAAACACAGGUCCGUGCGAAGUCGCAAGACGAUGUAUACGGACUGACGCCUGCCCGGUGCUGGAAGGUUAAGAGGACCCGUUAACCCGUAAGGGUGAAGCGGAGAAUUUAAGCCCCAGUAAACGGCGGUGGUAACUAUAACCAUCCUA
rnacentral:rRNA from 1 species